rnacentral:rRNA from 1 species
CAUGCAAGUCGAACGGUAACAGGAAGCAGCUUGCUGUUUUUGCUGACGAGUGGCGGACGGGUGAGUAAUGUCUGGGAAACUGCCUGAUGGAGGGGGAUAACUACUGGAAACGGUAGCUAAUACCGCAUAACGUCGCAAGACCAAAGAGGGGGACCUUCGGGCCUCUUGCCAUCGGAUGUGCCCAGAUGGGAUUAGCUAGUAGGUGGGGUAACGGCUCACCUAGGCGACGAUCCCUAGCUGGUCUGAGAGGAUGACCAGCCACACUGGAACUGAGACACGGUCCAGACUCCUACGGGAGGCAGCAGUGGGGAAUAUUGCACAAUGGGCGCAAGCCUGAUGCAGCCAUGCCGCGUGUAUGAAGAAGGCCUUCGGGUUGUAAAGUACUUUCAGCGGGGAGGAAGGGAGUAAAGUAAUACCUU